UCCUUUCCAUCACACCCCUCUCCCCAUUCCAGCGCCAGGAGCUAGAGGAAUUUAAACAGAAGAUCCGGAAGCAGAGGGAAGAAAGACUUCUUCAAGCUGCCCAGCAGAGCUCCUGAGACCUUCAGUUCCUCAAGUUCCAGACACCCCCCCCCCCCAGGAAAUAACACACACUGAACUCUCUGUCGCUAGUGCCAAGUAUUUUAUUACUUUCAGGGGCCAGUGGGAGGCCCAGGGUGGCUGGAACUCUCAGGGAGCUUGUGUCUGGGGCUGGGGGCUACUGUUCCUGCGGAAGCUGAGAGCAGCAGGGUCCUGCGGGCUGAGCAGGGGUUGAGGGCUGAGUGUCCCGGGUCGUUUCUGCAUUCCAUCCUGUGGAUGAAGAAGGGUCAGACGGUGGGAGGGGACCACGGAAAGUGCAAGUCAGGGGCACCUCCAAACAACAUGUCUUUACGUCUGCCAAUCAGGGUGGUCGUGAGUACUCAGGAAACAGAGGCAGGAGGAUUUUCUCGAGUUUGAAGCCACCCUGGUCUACAUACUAAAACAGAUGUUGGGCGCUGAGAAUAUAGCUCAGUCAUUGCAAUUCUUGCUGUGCUCGUUUGAAGAUCUCAUUUGGAUCCUGGGAGGCCAGGUGUGGCUUCAGGCACUUGUAAUCCCAGUGCUUAGGACGGAGAGUCAGGAGGGUCCCUAGGGCUUCCUAGCUAGGGAACCUGAUCUGCCUGGUGAGUUCCAGGGCAGUGGAGGAUCCCAUCUCAAAUAACAAGGUGAUGACUCCCGAAGAACCUCUGGCUUCUACCUGCACGUGUACCCAUCUGCACAUGGACCUCUGAACGUGUCUGCCAGUGUACACAGACAUAGGGCCAGGGCCGGGAUUCAGUUAAUAGGGACUGCAUCAAAGUCCCGGAUUCCAUCCCUAACCACAUAAAUCACUCACAGUGGCUCGCACCUGUAAUCCCAGAACCCAGGAUGUACAUGUUGGAAAAGUAGAAGUUUAAGGUCAUCGUUGGCCAGCCAGAGCUCCAUGAAACCCUGUCUCAGAAACAAUAAAGUGGAACGCCCCCAAACAG
rnacentral:lncRNA from 1 species